GGUCAUGAUCAAAUGGAUAAGGGCUGUUUAUUUCCUGCAAAUUGUGGAACAUCAUGCGUUAGAAGCAGCAAGAGCAUGCUGAACAGGCACAGCUGGAGGCCCAGAAAGUGACCCAAGAUUUUCAACGAGCCACUGAGGUGGUGUGAGCGGCCAAAGAGACCAUUGCUCUGACUGAACAGAGGCUACUGGAAGACAAAGAACGUCAGUUUGAUUCAGCGUGGCAAGAGAUGCUUAAUCACGCAACACAGCGGACUUUUGUUCACAACCAGCCCAGCAGCUGAAUGGCCCCAAGAAGAGGUGUCUCCUGCAGGUCUGGCUGUUUCUGCUUUGGAAAGUGAAUGAAAACCUUGAACCUCACCUUGUCUUUAUCCACUGUCUGAGUCCAGGUGUCUCCUGCAGGUCUGGCUGUCUCCACCCC